rnacentral:rRNA from 1 species
CUACGGGCUGCUGCAGUGAGGAAUAUUGCACAAUGGGGGGAACCCUGAUGCAGCAACGCCGCGUGGAGGAUGACGCAUUUCGGUGUGUAAACUCCUUUUAUAUGUCAAGAAAAUGACGGUAGCAUAUGAAUAAGCACCGGCUAACUCCGUGCCAGCAGCCGCGGUAAUACGGGGGGUGCAAGCGUUACUCGGAAUCACUGGGGUAAAGGACGCGUAGGCGGGUUGGAAAGUCAGGUGUGAAAUCCUACAGCUUAACUGUAGAACUGCACUUGAAACUUCUAAUCUAGAGUAUGGGAGGGGGAGAUGGAAUUAGUGGUGUAGGGGUAAAAUCCGUAGAUAUCACUAGGAAUACCUAAAGCGAAGGCGAUCUCCUGGAACAUUACUGACGCUAAGGCGUGAAAGCGUGGGGAGCAAACAGGAUUAGAUACCCUUGUAGUC